GUUUUAAUAAUUUAAAUAAAAUAUUGGUCUUGUAAACCAAAAAUAUGAUCUCCUUUUAAAACA
rnacentral:tRNA from 1 species